GUGUAUGUAGCUCAGUGGUGAGCAUUUGCCUGGCAUGUGUGAGGCUCUGGGUUCCAUUCCCAGCACAGUACA
rfam:Heterocephalus glaber contig124966, whole genome shotgun sequence.